UGGAGACUUUGAAGUGGGAAGCAGUAAGUGCCCCCUGUGCUGGGCUGUGUGCAAGGGGGGGAGGCAGCCCCUGAGGAUCAGCGCUGUGCCUUGGCUUGUGAGGAUGAGAGAAAAGACGGAAUUAAUGAGAUGGGCUCGGAUCUCCAAAGGCAAUGAAGUAAUCAGCAGCUCAGAGUCAAAAUAUCUGGAGACAUGUCAGAUGCCUUCCUUACCUCUGGCUGUUGCUCUCAGCUGUGAGGAUAUUUGCAUGGCAGUGGCUGGGUCAGGGUGCUACAGCCUCUGGUCUCAGUGUUGCUUUGGGCUGUCCUGCAGCUGUUCAGAUGUCUUCCCGCCUUCUGAAUCUGUUGAAGAGCCAAGCUCUGAUUUGGGCCCACUGACGUUGUGCAAUUUGUUUAAUUCAAUUUGAAUGUUAAAAACUAUGUCAGUUGCCUCAUCCUUGUAUUAAAAUAUCCUUUUAAGAAGUGUCCAUAGGUGUUGAUUUCAACCUUCUUGACAGCUGUAGAGGUGCUUUGUUUUCCUAGCUGUCUUACGACAGUCACAUCAAAAAAUGUUUUUCAUCAUCCUGCAGGGAACUAAUAGGUUUAAUACAUGUAUUUUUUACCACAAGCUGC
rnacentral:lncRNA from 1 species